GACGAACGCUGGCGGCGUGCCUAAUACAUGCAAGUCGAGCGGAUUGAAGGGAGCUUGCUCCCUGAUAUUAGCGGCGGACGGGUGAGUAACACGUGGGCAACCUGCCCUGCAGAUGGGGAUAACUCCGGGAAACCGGGGCUAAUACCGAAUAAUCGGUUCUUCCGCAUGGAAGAACUCUGAAAGACGGUUUCGGCUGUCACUGCAGGAUGGGCCCGCGGCGCAUUAGCUAGUUGGUGGGGUAACGGCCUACCAAGGCGACGAUGCGUAGCCGACCUGAGAGGGUGAUCGGCCACCCUGGGAAUGAGACACGGCCCAGACUCCUACGGGAGGCAGCAGUAGGGAAUCUUCCAAAAUGGACGAAAGUCUGAUGGAGCAACGCCGCGUGAGCGAAGAAGGUUUUCGGAUCGUAAAGCUCUGUUGCGAGGGAAGAACAAGUACGAGAGUAACUGCUCGUACCUUGACGGUACCUCGUUAGAAAGCCACGGCUAACUACGUGCCAGCAGCCGCCGUAA
rnacentral:rRNA from 1 species